UCAACGAUUUUUAGAAUUUCUUCUUUUCAUUAACUUUGAAUAACCUUAUGUCGAAAUACUAGGUUAUAGCCUUUUCAAAUAGCUCAUAUGAUCAAGAUCUCAAUGCUUUAGUUAUUUAUUCUUAAAUUUAAAAUCCGUGCUUGUAGACAGUUUAAAUUUCUGUGGGCAGUUUGGCAUUACCCCUGGCGUGUUAACAUGAAAUUGGUCCACUGGCCAUCCGGCGCCCCUUAGUGUUGGUUUAUUUCAGUUCUUUAAAAUGCAACUCAGUAUUUUGAUAGAUUUUCAAAUUCCUAGAAAUGGAAAGGAAGGUGGGAAAUGACCAUUCCAGGUGAGUGAGACUUUUACUUCAGGCAUCCAGGCACUGCCGAGGUUUCACGUGUAGCGGUGUAGGCAAAAGAUAGAGCUAAACAAAGCCUCUUGCCCUAUGUUAGAUGACUGUAGUAUCUUGUGACCAUUAUAACAUCUUGCAAAUAUCUCUUUUUUAAUGUUAUGUUGUGUUUAUUCCAUUACAUAUUCCCUUUCUUUCAAAUGCCAAUGCCAUAUCCCUACUUCUAUGAACACGGGAGAAGAAAUUCUUAGCUCCUUCUCACUUGUUAGAAACCACCAUAAAGUAAUUGAGAUUUGUCCUAAUCCUUACUGUCGUUAGCUUGAUGUGGCCAAGUUGACAAAGAUCUCUAUAAUCCUCAAGCUGCUACUGGUAAUGCUUGAGCAGUGGCUUUCCCUUGACGUGUAGUGUAGCAUACAAUGACCCAUCUAAAAAACGAAUUAUGCAACAUAUUGGGAUCUUGUUCAGAAGAGAGCAGAUAGCAAGGGAAUUAGCUGAGAAGUCAGAAAAGAGAUAUGGAACGAAAAUUAUCUCCCCAUUACCUGAUUUUUAUUUCUCUUUUCUUUUCAUUUUCAGUGAAAUGAUAUUACAGGCAAACUUUUGUCCUUUUAUGUGAUAAAGCAGCUCAUGUACAUUUAUAAUAUUGCUAGCAUGGCACUUGAAAUUUUAGUAAUCGUUAAUUUAGUAUGCUGGUUCACAAUUUU